rnacentral:rRNA from 1 species
UACGUAGGGUGCGAGCGUUAAUCGGAAUUACUGGGCGUAAAGAGUGCGUAGGCGGUUUCUCAAGUCCGCUGUGAAAUCCCCGGGCUCAACCUGGGAAUGGCAGUGGAAACUAGGAGACUUGAAUCUGGCAGAGGGGGGUGGAAUUCCACGUGUAGCAGUGAAAUGCGUAGAGAUGUGGAGGAACACCGAUGGCGAAGGCAGCCCCCUGGGCUGAGAUUGACGCUCAGGCACGAAAGCGUGGGGAGCAAGCAGG